rnacentral:rRNA from 1 species
CCUACGGGUGGCAGCAGUGAGGAAUAUUGGUCAAUGGGCGUAAGCCUGAACCAGCCAAGUCGCGUGAGGGAUGAAGGUUCUAUGGAUCGUAAACCUCUUUUAUAAGGGAAUAAAGUGCGGGACGUGUCCCGUUUUGUAUGUACCUUAUGAAUAAGGAUCGGCUAACUCCGUGCCAGCAGCCGCGGUAAUACGGAGGAUUCGAGCGUUAUCCGGAUUUAUUGGGUUUAAAGGGUGCGUAGGCGGCCUUUUAAGACAGCGGUGAAAGUCGGUGGCUCAACCAAGGAGUUACCGUUAAAACUGGGAGACUAGAGUGUAUUAGGGGUAAGCGGAAUGCGUGGUGUAGCGGUGGAAUGCUGAGAUAGCAGGCGGA